UACGUAGGUGACUAGCGUUGUCCGGAUUUACUGGGCGUAAAGAGCGCGCAGGCGGUCGGGCAAGUCGAGUGUGAAAGCCCCCGGCUCAACUGGGGAGGGUCACUCGAUACUGUUCGACUCGAAGGCGGGAGAGGGAAGCGGAAUUCCCGGUGUAGUGGUGAAAUGCGUAGAUAUUGGGAGGAACACCAGUGGCGAAGGCGGCUCACUGGACCGGAACUGACGCUGAGGCGCGAAAGCGUGGGGAGCAAACAGG
rnacentral:rRNA from 1 species